UGGGGAAUUUUCCGCAAUGGGCGAAAGCCUGACGGAGCAACGCCGCGUGCGGGACGAAGGCCUGUGGGUUGUAAACCGCUUUUAACAGGGAAGAAUAACUGACGGUACCUGUUGAAUCAGCAUCGGCUAACUACGUGCCAGCAGCCGCGGUAAGACGGAGGAUGCAAGCGUUAUCCGGAAUUAUUGGGCGUAAAGCGUCCGCAGGUGGUCAAGCAAGUCUGCCGUUAAAGCCCAGGGCUCAACCCAGGAUUAGCGGUGGAAACUGUUUUGCUAGAGUACGGUAGGGGCAGAGGGAAUUCCCAGUGUAGCGGUGAAAUGCGUAGAUAUUGGGAAGAACACCGGUGGCGAAGGCGCUCUGCUGGGCCGAAACUGACACUCAUGGACGAAAGCGAGGGGAGCGAAAGGGAUUAGAUACCGCCGUAGUCC
rnacentral:rRNA from 1 species